rnacentral:rRNA from 1 species
GUUAAUAAUAAUAAAGUAAAAUUACCAUACGCGAAAUAAUUUGAGCUAACUACCUAUAGGUUUUAGAUUAGCGCUCUGUGUGUAGCAAAACACAAAUUAAAUAGAUAGUUAGGGGUGACAGGCCAAGCAAAAUUUAAGAUAUCUCGAUUUUAAGGAAACACAUUUAGUGUAAGGUCAAACUUAUAGUGAUAAGGCUUUAAGUAAAAAUUAAUGUCACAAGUAACAUAUGCAUAACUUUAAUUGGUAGUGCACUCUACACAAGUUAAUUAUUUAAGUGAAUAAAUUUAUUGACAGUACUUAAAAUACGAAAAUCAACAUAGUAAUAAUAUAAUGUUAACAUUAGUAGAAAUAUAGAUUAGUGAAAUGAAUUCGGCAAAAAUUCUCUCAACUGUUUACCAAAAACAUAACUGCAUGAGCUAACAUGCAGCAUCUUCUGCUCAAUGAACAUAUUAAAUGGCCGCAGUACCCUGACUGUGCAAAGGUAGCAUAAUCAUUUGGCUUAUAAUUGAAGUCUGGAAUGAACGAAUGUAUGGGGGAUUACUGUGUCAUACUAACCCACUGAAAUUAUUUAGUAAGUGAAAAAGCUUACACAUAAAUAAAAGACGAGAAGACCCUAGAAAUUUUAAUUGCAUUUUGCUGGGGCGGCAUAGUAGCACGUGAACCUACAUUAUAUGACGUGAGUCUAAUACGAAGUAAGUUUAAUUACUCUAGGGAUAACAGCAUAAUUUAACAAAGAUUGUGACCUCGAUGUUGGACUAGGAAGUUUAAGCUUAGAAGGCAUAGAAUCUUGCUCUGUUC